rnacentral:rRNA from 1 species
CACGUAGGGUGCGAGCGUUGUCCGGAAUUAUUGGGCGUAAAGAGCUCGUAGGCGGUGUGUCGCGUCGGCCGUGAAAACCUGCAGCUUAACUGUGGGCUUGCGGUCGAUACGGGCAUCACUGGAGUUCGGAAGAGGCGAGUGGAAUUCCCGGUGUAGCGGUGAAAUGCGCAGAUAUCGGGAGGAACACCUAUGGCGAAGGCAGCUCGCUGGGACGUUACUGACGCUGAGACGCGAAAGCGUGGGGAGCAAACAGG